CUACAGGGGUAUCUAAUCCUGUUUGCUCCCCACGCUUUCGCACCUCAGCGUCAGUAUUGAACCAGGAGGCCGCCUUCGCCACCGGUAUUCCUCCACAUAUCUACGCAUUUCACCGCUACACGUGGAAUUCUACCUCCCUCUCUCAUACUCUAGCCGCCCAGUAUCGAAUGCAGUUCCCAGGUUGAGCCCGGGGCUUUCACAUCCGACUUAGGCAGCCGCCUACGCGCGCUUUACGCCCAGUAAUUCCGAUUAACGCUUGCACCCUCUGUAUUACCGCGGCUGCUGGCAC
rnacentral:rRNA from 1 species